GGCAUCAGGGGCAAAGAGCUGGUACUACUUCGGGAUGCGAUAUUACUCCCGGAGUCAUUCGACGUUCGAUUCUGAAAGUGAAGAAACCUUCACUUUUGGGCCCGACGAAGAGUCAUCAGUCGGAUUCUCCGAUCGACCGUCCCGAGAAGAAGAACCUCUAACCAUUGAAGAGUAAAAGGCUAAAGAAGAUGAAGAACGACUUGAAAAGACAGAGGACUUAACCUGAAACUUAAAAAGAAAGAUGAGAAGGAAAGAGUCUUCAGACGCUGGAACGAUCCUCCAGCAAAGCUUCCACAGCAAAAAGGACAAAUAAAAAGUAAAAAGUUAGCUGAAAGCGAUCCUAUAUAUAUAUAGGAUCUCUCAACGGUCA
rnacentral:lncRNA from 1 species